ensembl:lncRNA
UUCCCGGGAUCAGGGAUGAGCUGUGCUGGCUCUGUCCCCACCGAACCCCCUCUGUCGCUGUCCCUGCAGGUUCUGGUUCCGUCUCUACUGGUUUCCUCUCAAGGUUCUGUAUGCCACCUGCCACUCCAGCCUCCAGUCCGUCCCCAACAUCCCCUUCUACUUCUUCUUCAACGCGCUGCUGCUCGUGCUCACCCUGAUGAACAUCUACUGGUUCCUGGUGCUGCUGGGGCAGAUGCAGGAGGUGAACGAUGUCCGCGAGUACGACGUGGAGGAGAGCAGGAAAGCCGGGAAGGAGGCUGGGAUCCCGCUGCCCCAGGCUCUGAAGGAAGGGCUGCACCUCAAGAACGGCCUCGUGAAGGACAAGAGGUUGUGAGGGCGGCGUGGCCGGUGGUCACUGCCAGGACCCUGCCCUGGGACCCUGCAAAGGAGAACUUCACCCCCCUGUCCCCCUGCCAGCCCUGCCAGGACCCCUCGGGGCCGGGCUGUGCCUGUCCCCUGUCCCCUGGGGGCUCCCUGGGGGCCACUUCGGCUUUGCUGGCCCGGGUGGGACUCGGGGCUGGCUUUGUGUCCCCCGGUGUUGCUCCACGUUCUCAGCCCCGCUGUGAUUCCCCCCGGAGCCUCCCUCUGCCCCUUCCCAGCCGCUCCUGCCGGCUCCAGCCCCGGUCCCGGCGGGGGAAGGUCCUGUCCUGCUCCCGCUGCCACCCAGGGGCCGCACGGGGACCCUCGGAGGUGUCGCUGUCACCCGCAGCUCCCACGGGCAGCUCCGCCUGGAAAUCCCCCCCGGGAGCUCCAGCCCAGCCCCUGGAGGAGGCCCAGGGGGUUCCACCGCCUUGGAAAAGCCCCGUGCAGGUCCUGGGGGGCUCAGAAAGGAUCCUGCAGGUCCCUGCUGGGGUUCCCCCCGGACCGGCCCCUUGCUGAAGGAAGAACAGAGAAUUCUGCUCCCCGGCUUGGGUUUCCAGGAAAAACAGGGAAUUCCUGCUCCCCGGCUUGGGUUUCCAGGAAAAACAGGGAAUUCCUGCUCCUGGCUUGGGUUUCCAGGAAAAACAGGGAAUUCCUGCUCCCCGGCUUGGGUUUCCAGGCAGCUCCAGCCCUGCAGCUUCCCAAGCUCCCUGUCCUGGGCAGGGUUUGGGUCCCCUCGCUGUCCCCUCGAUGUCCCCUCGCUGUCCCCUCGCUGUCCCCUCCCAGGGACCCACCGCUCCCUCCCCGAGCAGCCAGAGGAGGGAGGAGGAUCCCGGGCGUUAAUUCCAGGUGUGGGAGAUGGGAAUUUGCGGGAUUUUUCCAUGUUUGUUCUGUCACGGCCAUUCCCCUCCAGACUUGCUGUGUCUGAGGCAGGGACAGACCCCAGCGGGACGUCCCCGACCUUGUCCCUUGUCCUUUGUCCCUCUCCGUGACCUUCAGGGUGUCAGGGGAGCAUCCCAGGGCUGGAAUUCCUCGGUUUUCAGUGGGAUUUGCAGGGCAGGAAGGGAACUGAGACCCCGGGAUGGGCCGGAGUGGAGCUGGGGGGACCUGGGGAGGAUAAAUUGAAUUUUCCAGGGCUGGCAUUGAGCUGCUGUCGGGGGUGUGACAUCGGUGACAUCGGUGACAUCGGUUGGUGGUGGCAGCUCUGCUGUGAUGGCCUGGAAGGGACUGGGGGGCCGGGGACCGGAGGUUUUGGGACCGGAGGUUUUGGGACCGGAGGUUUUUGUGACCGAUGGUUUUUGGGGCCGAUGGAAUUUUCGGGGCUGUGUGAAGCAGGACUUUGAUGUUUUGAUGUGCUGGAGGUUGGUGGCUUUAAGAGAGAAGCGUUGGGCGCCUGAUUGAGUUUAAAAAAGGGGAUUUUUGGGGAAGGAAGAGCCGGCUCCGGCUCCGGGCAGGACUUUUGGGAGCAGCGCUGGAUUUUCCAUCCUCAUCCAUCCACGGACUGCGCUGGAGCCCGAGC